UGGUGGUAAUUGCGGCAGGUUGCCGAAUAAUUGUGAAGUACUAGACGUACUUUUGAUCACCUGGUUAGAGUUAUUUUGGGCUUAUGGGCUUUCGCCCUCUACACAACAUUCCAGCCCAUUUAUUUUGGGCUUUGUCGUUUUUUUUUUUUUUUUACCCUCUGAUGGGAUUUAUACAGAUGUCUCCGAAAGCUAAGAAAAAUAAAUUACAUCAUUCAAAAACAAGAAAAAUAAAUCACAUCAUUCUGAUGGGGUGUUUAUUCCUUGCUUUUACUUUUCUCUUUUUGCUUUUGCUUUCUGCUUUUGCUUUAUCUUUUGCUUUCUCUUUUGCUUUCUCUUUUCCUAUUUUCCACCGCACCUCUCUGUCUCUUAUCUUCACCUGGUGGACAAAAUGAAUCAUAAUAAUAGGCUUAUCUUUUGCUUUCUUCUUUUCUCUUUUCUUUUCUGCUUUUGUUUCUCCCACUCCAUUUCUUCGACAUCUUUUGCUUUCUGCUUUUGUUGCCCACCCCCUCUGAGUUGGGUUUGACUGGUUACUGCCGUUGAAGCUGAAUCUGUGACUUCUUUUUCUAAAGUGGCAUUGGAUUCGCCAACUUUAGCAUCCUCGUGACUCUCGGGG
rnacentral:lncRNA from 1 species